CGGCGGCGGGUCUGUGGUUGAAAGUCGACGCCAGCCGCGGGCGAAACGACCCACGUAAACCGAAAAUUUCGGCGAGCAUGGCGCGGUUUAGCAGUCAGCCCGGCCGGGAAACCGAGAGGCACAGUAGUGGGGAGGCUUUAGCCUUAUGAGCGAGAUGCCCAGCCGGCGGAUGUGGGGGCAAAGACCAGGUCAGCCGCCGCCG
rnacentral:ncRNA from 12 species